UCAAUCACUGUUUCAAGCCAUGACUUAGGACUUUUGCUAGAAUAUGUCAGAUAUGUAUAUUGUGCUUGAACUUGCACCCUGAAACAAAAAUAAAGAUAUUUAGUAAAACUGCAACUGAAUUGCAUAAGUUAGUAAAAAAAACCUGAAAAAGUGCUCAAUAUAAGGUAGAAUAAUCAGUUUUCAGUUCACAUGAGCCAUGAAUAAGCACUACUGAAUAUCAUUAAACAGUUAUCACCAAGAAAUUAGGGCUAGCACCUAAGAAACUGCUAUCCUGUUGGAAAAUUAUGAUUCUCUAGAGAAACAUAGGAAAUCACAAAUACCAAUGAAUGAUAAAUGCGUGUUAGCAGUCGUGUUACUGCUGAAAACAAAAGAAAAUUGAAAGGACUGAGUAAAAGAACUACAGCUAGAGCUACUUCUGGGUGUUGUUUUGGUUGCUGUAAUGCUGAGCCUUGUCAUCACUCAGUAAAGUAAACUGUUUAUUAACCAGUAAGCUAAUUUGAUUGCUAUUGUUUGCUUUACUUGUCACAACUAGUCUCACAUCAACCUCCCCAGAAAAUGGCCAGCAGAAUCAUCUGUUGGGAUGUAUAGGAAGGAAAGAAAGCUGUGUGCUAAAAAAUGAAGAUCUGGUCAACUUUAUCAGGAUGGAAAAAGGUGUAGCUCUACUGAAGUGUCCUGUAGAUUGGCCAACAAUGCUAACAAGGCUGAGUUGGGCACCUUUGCCCUUAUUAAUGAGAAAAGAAUAACUGCUGUAUGUCUGAGUAAAUGAGUAUUGAGGUAUCAUUCAGCAUUUCAAGUAUGCCAGUUGUACUGACCUUUCUCCCCAAAAUACUAAAUAUUACUGUGAAAAAAAAACUUCUGAAAACAACAUUACAAAAUAGCAGUUCAAUAUAGCCCUGGUAAAUGAAAAAUUCGGAAAAAAACAUUCAUUAGCUAAUUUCACUGUAGUGUUUUAUUAUUAAAAAGGAACAAUAAUGGCUAACAAGAUACGAUUCCCAAGUAAGAUAAUGUAGUAUAUAGUAUUGCCCCUUUAUAAUUAUUGAUACAUGAUAAUUAAAUUCUAAGGUGCCAUCUACAAAUGCUAAAAUAACAGUCUUCAUUCCAGAAGCCGCUUCCUAAUGCCCAUUCUAUCCUCUGAGAAUUAAUUCUAGCAGUAAGGCUUUCCUAUAAUUAACAUUGCCACUAGGGAAUCAAUUUUGCUUAGAAAACAUUUCAGAUCUCAUAAAAUGCAGAUGAUCUUCCUACUGCUUUGUUGAUUCUUCUUUUAUCUGGUUGUAACCCAACAAACCGCAGCUGGGGUUUCUGUAUGGAGCAGUUCUGAUCGGAUUGAAGCCAAGAGGGACAAGAUGGCAACAGUCCAUUGGUAAGGCUACUGUGGCUCACAGAUACAAGGCAACUGCCUCCAAACCCAUCAGUCACCCCAGGCCUGAACACUGCUCAAAGCCAAAGGAAGUCCAAUAGUCCAUGUUGCCAUUAACUUCUCCACUUUUUGUCUGAGCUAAUUUUCUGUUUGUUCCUGGCUAUCAGUAGCUGAUGGGGGACGGUAACCUUAAAGUUAUUAUGCAGCCCUAAGCAGCAGUAUUUAGCUUUUCUAAAUUGGUAGCACAUCUGAAAUACAUGCCAUGUCACGAUUAAUAUAAUAGUAACAACACCUCUCCAGGGCAUCCAAAACAGUAUAUCCAAAGUUCACAUUGUCUAAUGGAACAAUUAAUGCAAUAAUUUUGACUCUAAUAUGCCUUCACUUGUAAAUCAUCAAGUCAUUAACCUUAAUAAAACCAAACUGCUGUCAUUUAUCAUGCUCAUCUAAAUUGCUCAGUACUGCAAUAACAAAAUACUUCACAGAAAGGAGUGUUUGAAUGUCCCAGUGAAGCCUGGUAAAUACAGCAACCUUUUAACACAUUGGGAGUACUUUGUAAAGAAAAAAUACAAACUGAAAAGUUACAAGAAAUAUAGUAGGUCCCCCCCAAGCCCCUCCCCC
rnacentral:lncRNA from 1 species